GAUGAACGCUAGCGGCAGGCCUAACACAUGCAAGUCGAGGGAGGAGCUUUCGGGCUUAGACCGGCGUACGGGUGCGUAACGCGUAUACAAUCUGCCUUUCACAUAGGGAUAGCCCGAAGAAAUUUGGAUUAAUACCUAAUGGUAUAUAGUUGUGGCAUCACAUUUAUAUUAAAGCUGAGGCGGUGAAAGAUGAGUAUGCGUUCUAUUAGCUAGUUGGAGAGGUAACGGCUCCCCAAGGCGACGAUAGAUAGGGGUUCUGAGAGGGAUAUCCCCCACACUGGUACUGAGAUACGGACCAGACUCCUACGGGAGGCAGCAGUGAGGAAUAUUGGACAAUGGUCGGAAGACUGAUCCAGCCAUGCCGCGUGCAGGAAGACGGCCUUAUGGGUUGUAAACUGCUUUUGCAGGGGAAGAAUAAGGACUACGUGUAGUUUGAUGACGGUACUCUGCGAAUAAGCAUCGGCUAACUCCGUGCCAGCAGCCGCGGUAAUACGGAGGAUGCGAGCGUUAUCCGGAAUCAUUGGGUUUAAAGGGUCCGUAGGCGGGCUAAUAAGUCAGAGGUGAAAGCGCUCAGCUCAACUGAGCAACUGCCUUUGAAACUGUUAGUCUUGAAUGGUUGUGAAGUAGUUGGAAUGUGUAGUGUAGCGGUGAAAUGCUUAGAUAUUACACAGAACACCGAUAGCGAAGGCAUAUUACUAACAAUUAAUUGACGCUGAUGGACGAAAGCGUGGGGAGCGAACAGG
rnacentral:rRNA from 1 species